AUUUGUUUGGCACUUUAAAAAUAGAGGAGUAAGCAGGACUGGAGAGGCCAGAGAAGAUACCAAAAUUGGCAGGGAGAGACCAUUUGGCGCCAGUCCCCUAGGAGAUGGGAGGAGGGAGAUAGGUAUGAGGGUAGGCGCUAAGAAGAGUAGGAGGGGUCCACUCCAAGUGGCAGGGUGCUGAAAUGGGCUAGGACCAACAGGACACUGACUCUAGGUUUAUGACCUGUCCAUACCCGUUCCACAGCAGCUGGGUACCCACCUCCAGCCUCCCAUGUGAGCCUGUCCUUAUGUAUAGUGUCCAACCUCUGAUUCUAGCAGUCAAGUGUCUUCCCCAAUCCUAAUGUCCCCUGAUAUGUCUCUAGCGACUUGACCAUCUCUUGUUCCUUGGGACUGGGGCCAGCCUCUUGUCUGCCCACUUCCCUCUCAUUAGUCAGAUAGCCCCAAAGGCUCUAUCUUUAGCUCCCAGAGAACUUUUUGGUCCUCAGUAUUUCCCUUCCCCUUUCCUUCCUAUUCCCCACAACUGGGGGAGGGAAGGGAGAACAGGGGCACCUGAUCAUCAAUCUCCCCU
rnacentral:lncRNA from 1 species